rfam:Weissella koreensis KACC 15510, complete genome.
GGGGUCGUUCCGGAAUCGACUGGUGCUGUUUGAGCUAAUGCUGCGUUUAGGGGUUGUGGCCCUAUAAUCCACUCAGACGAAUUAACUGCAAAAAAUUCAAACAACUUGGCUUUCGCUGCUUAAAAACCAGUGAACCAAACUAACACGAUUGGUGGCCAUCCAGUUUAGUUAGUCAUAAUAAUUAUGGCCUGCGCAUAACGCUCCCAUCUGAAGCUGUUAUGAAGAGGAUAAUCAGAUUAGCCUAAAGGAUCGCCGGGUUAAUUGGCGUGCCAAGGGCGAAUUUUAAAUUAAUUAACUAUGAACGUAGAUGUAUUAGUAUCAAGGUAUUAGGACAGGGGUUCAACUCCCCUCGGCUCCAUAA